CCGGGAUGGACCAGCCGCUGGUGCGCCGGUUGUACCGCCAGGUGCAGCGCCGGGUAGCUACGCUGGGACGAGAUAAGCGCUGAAAGCAUCUAAGUGCGAAACUCACCUGGAGAUGAGAUUUCCCAAUAUGAAGGCCCGUCGGAGAUGACGACGUGGAUAGGCGGCAGGUGAACAACUGGAAACAGAAUAGCUGAGCCGUACUAAG
rnacentral:rRNA from 1 species